GGCUACUAUACUAUCGGUAGCACAGGGGGUUCCGUACUACCAAGUUGUUUUUGAUGAUGCGGCUUCCAAAUCGACGAUCAGCUCCGUUAGACUUAAUCUACACUAUUAAAAGUAUUUAGAAACUAAAUUUCAUAAUUUUUCGAUAUCAUUUACCUAUCAAACAAGUAGUCUAAAAUUGAACGGCUGAAAAUAAAAAUCUCAUAAAAAAUGAUGAUAAAAGAUUUAAAUUCAAGAUCAGAUAUACUGAUCUUACUCUAAAUAGUGAAAAGAAUUUUCUAUAAAAUUUUCAUCGCAUUUGGAUUGUUUUACACCGUUAAACUCACAAACACACUACAUCGGCCAUUAAAAUUGUCAAUUUUGAGAUCUUUCGAUCACUAGUCAAAUAAUGUCGAAAAAAAUCUGAAAUUUAGUUUCCAAAUACUUUCAAUAGUACAGAUCAAGUCUAACGGGGCCGAUCGUCGAUUUGAAAACUGCAUCAUCGAAAACAACUUAGUAGCACGAAGAGCUCCAUGCUACCAAUAGCAUAGUAGCCUAGUUCCUUAUAAUAGUAAUAAUAAUAAUAGUAGUUGUAAUAAUAAAUAAAUG
rnacentral:lncRNA from 1 species